UUGGAUUGGAGAUUCUCAGUUAUUUGGUGAAGGCAGCACUGGCGAAGAAGUUCAAGAAGGCAAGAGGUUUGCUUCAUACCUUUCUGCUUUGCCAUGCCAUAAGUGUUUAUAUCUUCUGGAGUUGUGGUGUUUUUGAACUUGCCCGAGAGCCAUGGUGGUUGUGGUGUCUUAGUGUUUGUAACUCUGUAAGUUGUACAUGCACGAACCCAAUCAAAACUUAUGGUCAAUGCUUAAAUUUCCUUUGGGGAAAGGUCUGGGAAUUUUACCGUCCACUACAUAUGUAGCGUGUCUUGGGCCCAUUAUUCACAAUACUCUUUCGACAUGUAAUUUGAUGACAUAUUUUAGUUUUUAUUGAUAACCAGUGUUAUGGUGA